rnacentral:rRNA from 1 species
CCUACGGGAGGCAGCAGUGGGGAAUAUUGGACAAUGGGGGGAACCCUGAUCCAGCCAUGCCGCGUGUGUGAAGAAGGCCCUCGGGUUGUAAAGCACUUUCAGUGAGGAAGAACGCCUGGUGGUUAAUACCCAUCAGGAAAGACAUCACUCACAGAAGAAGCACCGGCUAACUCCGUGCCAGCAGCCGCGGUAAUACGGAGGGUGCGAGCGUUAAUCGGAAUUACUGGGCGUAAAGCGCGCGUAGGUGGCUUGAUAAGCCGGUUGUGAAAGCCCCGGGCUCAACCUGGGAACGGCAUCCGGAACUGUCAAGCUUGAGUGCAGGAGAGGAAGGUAGAAUUCCCGGUGUAGCGGUGAAAUGCGUAGAGAUCGGGAGGAAUACCGGUGGCGAAGGCGGCCUUCUGGACUGCCACUGACACUGAGGUGCGAAAGCGUGGGUAGCAAACAGGAUUAGAUACCCGGGUAGUC